AAUUCUUGAAUGUUAAAAAAUCAUUUUUUUUGGAAAAUCUGAAACACCUAACAAACGCAUGUUAUUCAAUUCUUGAAUGAUUUGGUUUGUAAUUCACUAUCACCAUCGCUACUGCAAUCUUUCAUUAUCCAUCUUUUUAAAUUUGAAUUCUAUUUCAUUCUAAUUCAUAAUCGAUUCAUUCAACCCAAUUUGUUUUCUGUUUGCGACACUCUUUCGUUCUCCGUCAUUCAUCAUAACGCUACGCUAGAAAACCUCACAACACAACACAACACAACACGUUCGUGUAACUCGCUUACUUGACUCGCCCCGUAACUCGUUCUCUUCGUUUUCCAUUUUUUCAUCACGCCGAAGGCUAAAGCGGAUUCCAAACCCGCUGAUAACAGUUGCUUCCACUACUUGGGUUAAUUUUGAUGAUAUGGAAGCUAUUAAAGAAAAAGUUUCCUAUGCAAAGUAAAAUGGAUUACUCGGUUACAAUGUUUUCAAAGUUGGGAAUGAUGACAAUUGGGUCCUUUCCAAGGCAGGUAAAUUUGAAAUUAUUACACACUUCUGAGACUGUUUGGGAGAGCUGGUAAAAACAACUUAUGAUGUGUGCAUAAGUUGUUUUUCAUGAUUAUUGUACUAAGAUGUGAUUUUUUAAUGAAUUGUUUUUUAUUAGACCUGUUUGAAGGCUUAUUUUCAAACCCAAAUUGUUUUUCAAUUUUUAUUUUUAUACUAUAUGAUACUCUUUAUUAUUUAAUUUCUCAUUUUCUUGAUUCAAGAAUGAAUGAUUGAAUACAUUUCGACUCUAUUUGUAAACUGAGCAAUCUAUUGGAGUUAAUGAAGUUUUUUUUAAUGAAUUUUUAUUUUCAAUAUGAUUUUGUCGGUUAAAUUGUAAUUUAAAUUAUUCUUGUGAUUUUAUUUAAGUUGAAAACCUAAAGGUAUUAUGAGGUAUGCAUGAAUACUCUAAUAAUUUGAAUGAUAAAUAUAUUUUUUUGGUUGGACUGAGUAAUAGUGUGUACUUAAUUAAAAAUAUUAAUCCUACAUUAUAAUUGGUCUAAUUAUAUUUUCUCUAAAACAUUUUAACAAAUUGAGUUAUUUAUAUGUUUUGAUAAAGGUGCUUCACUAUUCAUAUCUCUACAAUAUAUAUUAAACGGACAAAGUUAGUAAUUAGUUAGUAAUUACUAAAACAUAUAUUGAAUAUAUUUUAGUUUCCAAUAUAUAUUUUAUUAAACUGACAAAGUUAGUAAUUAGUUGCCAAUGUUAGUAUUUUUGUUUUCAAUAUAUUGAAUAUGGGUUCUAUCAGAUUGUUACUGUUACUAGGUAAUCUGUUUGCAAAACAAUAGUAAUGAUAUUCUUGUUGGUUACUUGGUUUAUUUAUUUCUUACAAGUAAUUCAUGCAAUUUGCUAAGUUUUACUACAAUUGUACUUUAUGACACAAUCAGUGAUGGUAUGCUCAGUUCCUAAAACAUACCAUUGUUUUUUUCAUUUUCACCAAGGUAAGUAUUUGUGUGGGUUUUACCUUUUUCGUAUUGCUUCCCUAUACUCUUUUGAAAAUUAGCAACUGCGCAUACAUAUAUCUAUUUGAUACUUGAUAGACCUGACCUGUGUUUGCUUCACUAUUCAUAUCUCUAUUUGAUAUUAGCUGGUUCUUUUUAAUACUUAAUGUACUUUAUAUGGUUUUAAUGACAUUUGUCUUUAUAUAUCACUGUUUGAUCUUUAUGACUAUGUAUCUUAGGUUGGUGGCCGAUUUUGAAAUUCAAAUCAUAUCAUUCUCGAGACUAAUCGAUAGUAAUUAGUUAGUAAUUACUAAAACAUAUAUUGAAUAUAUUUUAGUUGCCAAUAUAUAUUUUAUUAAACUGACAAAGUUAGUAAUUAGUUGCCAAUGUUAGUAUUUUUGUUUUCAAUAUAUUGAAUAUGGGUUCUAUCAGAUUGUUACUGUUACUAGGUAAUCUGUUUGCAAAACAAUAGUAAUGAUAUUCUUGUUGGUUACUUGGUUUAUUUAUUUCUUACAAGUAAUUCAUGCAAUUUGCUAAGUUUUACUACAAUUGUACUUUAUGACACAAUCAGUGAUGGUAUGUUCAGUUCCUAAAACAUACCAUUGUUUUUUUCAUUUUCACCAAGGUAAGUAUUUGUGUGGGUUUUACCUUUUUCGUAUUGCUUCCCUAUACUCUUUUGAAAAUUAGCAACUGCGCAUACAUAUAUCAAUUUGAUACUUGAUAGACCUGACCUGUGUUUGCUUCACUAUUCAUAUCUCUAUUUGUACAAAUUCUGCUUCACUCACUGUUUUUUGUAUUUCCACUGGGAGGCCAUUUGUUGUUUUACUUCCAUCAUGCAUUUAUUUUUCUUAUCAAGUAGGUAAAUUGUUACAGAGCAUAGACUUAUAAUGCAAUACAACCAUACUAUUAAUUUCACACUAUUAAAUUUUAACAUUAGUCACUACAUAUUAAGGCAAGUUGCAAUUUCAUUAUGCUUCUUAUACUAUCACUAGAUAUGCAUGGUCGUCACAUGUCUCAAUGUCUGAUUGUAGUGUUCUUGCUCAAAUUUAUGUGCAUAAAAACCAGUUUAACCUAUUUCAGUGUUAUGUUUUCUUUUCUUUUUCAAAAACUCAAUAUCACUAAUCCAUCGUGGAAUUAUAUGCUUCUUUUCUUCUUCAGUUUUGACAUAGACAAUGGACCUAAAGCUGCCUAGUAUAUUCAGGAAGCAGUGGCUAAGUGGCAUCAACUGCGGCCAUGGUGUUUGAUUUUGAAAGUAUUUUUACAACAAAGAAUUUUUUUUAAUGAGCUCAUGAAGUAUAUGAAGAUCAUCAUAACAGAAGGUUGCUGAAAUUGUUCUGCUUAGACUACUACACUUCUCUUAGGAAUAGUAGUAUUUUGCUACUACCACCAAGGUGAAGAAGAUCAUUAUGCAAAUGGUUCUGAUUUAUUAAUAUUCGGUUAUCUCACAAUUAAAGUAGCAAAAAAUAACUUCUCAGAAGAAAAUAAGUUAGGAAAGGGUGGAUUUGGAGCUGUGUACAAGGUAACGUUUCGAAGUUAGGAAAGGGUGGAUUUGGAGCUGUGUACAAGGUUGCAAAUUUUGGGUCUUUCAGGACAAUGGUGUACCUUCCAACUAGUGAUAUUUAUGUCGUGAUUCUGAAAUUAGGCUUACCGAAUCGGCAGAUUGGUUUGAAUGCAAUUUCUAGAUUUGUCACAGAGAAGUAUGGCAAAAACGAUACAGGUCAUUGGAAAGGCUCGCGUGCCAAUUAUUAAAUUCGUUAAAGAAGAGUGCUUUUUCCUUUGAUAUAAGUUUUGACAUAGACAAUGGAACUAAAGCUGCCUAGUAUAUUCAGGAAGCAGUGGCUAAGUGGCAUCAACUGCGGCCAUGGUGUUUGAUUUUGAAAGUAUUUUUACAACAAAGAAUUUUUUUUAAUGAGCUCAUGAAGUAUAUGAAGAUCAUCAUAACAGAAGGUUGCUGAAAUUGUUCUGCUUAGACUACUACACUUCUCUUAGGAAUAGUAGUAUUUUGCUACUACCACCAAGCAGGUGAAGAAGAUCAUUAUGCAAAUGGUUCUGAUUUAUUAAUAUUCGGUUAUCUCACAAUUAAAGUAGCAAAAAAUAACUUCUCAGAAGAAAAUAAGUUAGGAAAGGGUGGAUUUGGAGCUGUGUACAAGGUAACGUUUCGAAGUUAGGAAAGGGUGGAUUUGGAGCUGUGUACAAGGUUGCAAAUUUUGGGUCUUUCAGGACAAUGGUGUACCUUCCAACUAGUGAUAUUUAUGUCGUGAUUCUGAAAUUAGGCUUACCGAAUCAGCAGAUUGGUUUGAAUGCAAUUUCUAGAUUUGUCAGAGAAGUAUGGCAAAAACGAUACAGGUCAUUGGAAAGGCUCGCGUGCCAAUUAUUAAAUUCGUUAAAGAAGAGUGCUUUUUCCUUUGAUAUAAGUUUUGACAUAGACAAUGGACCUAAAGCUGCCUAGUAUAUUCAGGAAGCAGUGGCUAAGUGGCAUCAACUGCGGCCAUGGUGUUUGAUUUUGAAAGUAUUUUUACAACAAAGAAUUUUUUUUAAUGAGCUCAUGAAGUAUAUGAAGAUCAUCAUAACAGAAGGUUGCUGAAAUUGUUCUGCUUAGACUACUACACUUCUCUUAGGAAUAGUAGUAUUUUGCUACUACCACCAAGCAGGUGAAGAAGAUCAUUAUGCAAAUGGUUCUGAUUUAUUAAUAUUCGGUUAUCUCACAAUUAAAGUAGCAAAAAAUAACUUCUCAGAAGAAAAUAAGUUAGGAAAGGGUGGAUUUGGAGCUGUGUACAAGGUAACGUUUCGAAGUUAGGAAAGGGUGGAUUUGGAGCUGUGUACAAGGUUGCAAAUUUUGGGUCUUUCAGGACAAUGGUGUACCUUCCAACUAGUGAUAUUUAUGUCGUGAUUCUGAAAUUAGGCUUACCGAAUCGGCAGAUUGGUUUGAAUGCAAUUUCUAGAUUUGUCAGAGAAGUAUGGCAAAAACGAUACAGGUCAUUGGAAAGGCUCGCGUGCCAAUUAUUAAAUUCGUUAAAGAAGAGUGCUUUUUCCUUUGAUAUAAGUUUUGACAUAGACAAUGGACCUAAAGCUGCCUAGUAUAUUCAGGAAGCAGUGGCUAAGUGGCAUCAACUGCGGCCAUGGUGUUUGAUUUUGAAAGUAUUUUUACAACAAAGAAUUUUUUUUAAUGAGCUCAUGAAGUAUAUGAAGAUCAUCAUAACAGAAGGUUGCUGAAAUUGUUCUGCUUAGACUACUACACUUCUCUUAGGAAUAGUAGUAUUUUGCUACUACCACCAAGCAGGUGAAGAAGAUCAUUAUGCAAAUGGUUCUGAUUUAUUAAUAUUCGGUUAUCUCACAAUUAAAGUAGCAAAAAAUAACUUCUCAGAAGAAAAUAAGUUAGGAAAGGGUGGAUUUGGAGCUGUGUACAAGGUAACGUUUCGAAGUUAGGAAAGGGUGGAUUUGGAGCUGUGUACAAGGUAACGUUUAGAAAUUCAUCUUCUUGUGAAAUGUUUCGUUCAAAUAGGAACUUUGAAAUGUAAAUUGAAGUAUGAAUUGGAUAGUAAUGAUGCAAUCUUCCGUUAUGAAUUUCAUUUUUUUUAGAUGCAAAAUUGAAUAUGUCCCUUAAUUGAGUUUAUGUCCCACGAUGUCCCU